rnacentral:rRNA from 1 species
UAUCCGCCCGGGAACUACGAGCAUAAGCUUAAAACCCAAAGGACUUGGCGGUGCUUUAGACCCCCCUAGAGGAGCCUGUCCUAUAACCGAUACUCCCCGUUAAACCUCACCUUUUCUUGUUAAAUCCGCCUAUAUACCGCCGUCGUCAGUUUACUCUGUGAGGAGCCCGUAGUAUGCACAAUUGGCACAGCCUAAAACGCCAGGUCGAGGUGUAGCGUAUGAAAAGGGAAGAGAUGGGCUACAUUCAAUAACCGAUAAUGAAUACGGAUGAUACCCUGAAACAAAAUAUCUGAAGGAGGAUUUAGUAGUAAGUAGAGAACAGAGUGCUCUACUGAAACCGGCCCUAAAGCGCGCACACACCGCCCGUCACUCUCUCCAAGCUAACAAAAACACAUUUCUAAUAAGCAAAAUUCGCUAAGGGGAGGCAAGUCGUAACAUGGUAAGCGUACCGGAAGGUGCGCUUGGAAAAAUUCAGAGUGUAGCUAAAUACAAUCAAAGCACUUCCCUAAUGGAAGACCACCCGUGCAAACCGGGUUGUUCUGAGACCUUUUUAUGCCCUUUUCCUUCUGUGGGAGCAAUUCAGAGCAUAGCUAAGCAAAGCAUAGCGCCUCCCUUACACCGAGAAGUCAUCCGUGCGAACCGGAUUGCCCUGAAGUCUUAAAGCUAGCCCCAUCCCCUAAAAUAAAUUUAACACCAUGCAUAAACCCAAAAACACCAAUCAACAACAAAACAAACCAUUUUCCCCUUUAAGUAUAGGAGAUAGAACCGAGAAACCGGAGCAAUAAAAAAAGUACCGCAAGGGAAAGCUGAAAGAGAAAUG